rnacentral:misc_RNA from 1 species
UAUUCCUCAACAUAACUAAGUCAUAAUGACUUAACUUGUGCUUGGAUGUUGAAGGUGUGCUGAUAAAAUCAUGUCAGCUCCUUUCAAAUAUAUGAGCAGGACAGCAUGUAACCAGCUCCAAUUUGAUAAGUAGUUAUCUGUGUUGUUGCUGGGUACAGUUGAAUGUCUGCUACCAAUUGUCCUACUAUUGGGACUUGCCUUCUAGGCAAAUCUAUUGAA